rnacentral:rRNA from 1 species
UACAGAGGGUGCGAGCGUUAAUCGGAAUUACUGGGCGUAAAGCGCACGUAGUCGGCUUUGCAAGUCGGUUGUGAAAUCCCCGGGCUCAACCUGGGAACUGCAUCCGAGACUGCAUUGCUUGAGUAUGGGAGAGGAAAGCGGAAUUUCUGGUGUAGCAGUGAAAUGCGUAGAUAUCAGAAGGAACAUCAGUGGCGAAGGCGGCUUUCUGGACCAAUACUGACGAUCAGGUGCGAAAGCGUGGGGAGCAAACAGG